UUCAAAUGCUUGGCAUUCCAUACACAUGUUCUUCUUUUUUGUGGUUAACGCAACGAUUAGAACAACGUAGGAUAUGAUAUACAACCAUUCAAGGAUUAUUUCACUAAUGUUGGUAACUACAAUACAAGCAAUCAGUAUCACGUGGGAAAUAUGAACAAUAAUACACGUACUACUAGCAAAACAAGCAUUACAUACAGAUUUUUUUGACACUGACUUUGAAAAUCAGUGGUCAUUGACUAAACACACAGAUAAUCCGUUUGAGUUAGCAAUUGACACAGAGAUCAGUAUAAGAUAGAGCCAGUUAGGUCCCAGAAGAAAAAAAAUUUCACAAUAUUCCGUGUGAGCUACUAUCACACACAGAUAUCGGUGAGAGACCAUUUUGAUUAGACUGUGUUGCAGAGUUUUGAUAUAGUAGUUCACAGUGACUUCACACAGCUAUCCGUGUGAUUACCUUAUGUUACCGAAGUCUGUAUGCAAUGUUUUGAUAAAAAGUUGCAUCGAUAAUUGCAAAAAUGCAAUUGACACAUAUAACAGUGUCUUUUGUCAGUCCACACGGACAUCUGUGGUUAUGUCAAUAUACAAAUGACACUGUAAAACGUAUGAAUUGAUAACUGAUUUCAAUAUAACUUAGACUUGUAAAAUAAAUUCAUUCUCAGCUGAACUUCCUAUGGAUUUUCUCUCUUGAGUUCUCUGUUCUCCGAUCUUCGACGACACACCCGUCUUCAGAUCUUGGUCUCCUCUUCCAAGAGUUCAGACAGCAACUCCGGGUGAUUGUCAUAUGGAUAUAUGAAUUGGUGUUUCUUAUGAAUAUUCUUUUUCACUUUCAGGUUUCAGAUUGCUUUUUUUCAUUUUUUUUAACUUAAAACUUUUUCAAACUGAUUUACUAACACCCAAGGUACUAGUGCUUUACUCUGAAAUCUUCAAGAUUAGUUAGUUCAUGAGAACCAUAUCACGAAGCUGACUAUAAAUCUCUUUCAUCGACGACAAAGACGACAUCGCUGCUAAAAGUCAUCGCCGGAGCCUCGGAAUCCGAUUUGGAAGCGGAUCGAUUCGGAGUCAGCGGCGGCGUUGUCGGGUUCUAUUCCGGCGCAUCAAUAUGGAAGAAGUUGAGGUUGUCGACGAUUGGAAGUCGCUGGGUCUGGUUCGACUUGGUUUUGGUUCAAGGCCGAUCUCUUGCCGGAAUGGAGUUUGGGUCGAACGUCGGCCGUGUCUGAAGAUCGUUCACGAUCUGCUCUGAUGCAUCGACGAGAUCUGGAUAAUAGUACUCAUCGGCCUUCGAUGAGGAGCUUGAUGUUUAGGUUGGCUUCUGGACCUAUACCCUCUUCAAAUUCAACCAUGCAUGUCUUCCUCACACUGUUCUGGGCUAUUGCCAUAAAAGCUAAGGCAACUAUGCUGAGAAAGGAAGUAGAGAUUCGUUCCUGAAAUGAAGAAUUAGAUAUGCAGUACUUGGCAAUUAUGCAAGAGAAUGCGAAGACGGCGGAAUGCUUGGUACUCUGGAGGGAUUUUCUCAAGUUUUAGAAUUGCAUCUUGGAAUUCCAAAGUUAGUUUGUUGAACUUUGGAAUGAGAAAGAACAGAUCUUGGGAAAGCAAUUUUUUUGAGACAAGGAGUUCAAUUAUUUUGCUGUAUAAAUUUAGUAUAUUUUUGCAUCGAAAAAAAGUAGAUCUUGCUAGAUGAUUCUAAUCUUUUGUAACUUCUUUUUGAAAAAACAAAAAAAUGAGAGCAGAUAUUUAUAUUUUUA